GACGAACGCUGGCGGCGUGCUUAACACAUGCAAGUCGAACGGAAAGGCCCCUUUGGGGGUACUCGAGUGGCGAACGGGUGAGUAACACGUGAGUAACCUGCCCUUGACUUCGGGAUAACUUCAGGAAACUGGGGCUAAUACCGGAUAGGAAUCCUUGCUGCAUGGUGGGGGUUGGAAAGCUUCGGCGGUUUUGGAUGGACUCGCGGCUUAUCAGCUUGUUGGUGGGGUAGUGGCUUACCAAGGCUUUGAGGGGUAGCCGGCCUGAGAGGGCGACCGGCCACAUUGGGACUGAGAUACGGCCCAGACUCCUACGGGAGGCAGCAGUGGGGAAUAUUGCACAAUGGGCGGAAGCCUGAUGCAGCAACGCCGCGUGCGGGAUGACGGCCUUCGGGUUGUAAACCGCUUUCAGCAGGGGCGAAGCUUGUGGUGACGGUACCUGCAGAAGAAGCACCGGCUAACUACGUG
rnacentral:rRNA from 1 species